AGUGAACGCUGGCGGUAGGCCUAACACAUGCGAGUCGAACGGCAGCACAGUAAGAGCUUGCUCUUACGGGUGGCGAGUGGCGGACGGGUGAGGAAUACAUCGGAAUCUACUUUUUCGUGGGGGAUAACGUAGGGAAACUUACGCUAAUACCGCAUACGACCUACGGGUGAAAGCAGGGGAUCUUCGGACCUUGCGCGACUGAAUGAGCCGAUGUCGGAUUAGCUAGUUGGCGGGGUAAAGGCCCACCAAGGCGACGAUCCGUAGCUGGUCUGAGAGGAUGAUCAGCCACACUGGAACUGAGACACGGUCCAGACUCCUACGGGAGGCAGCAGUGGGGAAUAUUGGACAAUGGGCGCAAGCCUGAUCCAGCCAUACCGCGUGGGUGAAGAAGGCCUUCGGGUUGUAAAGCCCUUUUGUUGGGAAAGAAAAGCAGCAGGUUAAUACCCCGCUGUUCUGACGGUACCCAAAGAAUAAGCACCGGCUAACUUCGUG
rnacentral:rRNA from 1 species